GGCGGCGUGCUUACCAUGCAAGUCGAACGGAAAGGCUCCUGCUUGCAGGGGUACUCGAGUGGCGAACGGGUGAGUAACACGUGGGUGAUCUGCCCUGCACUUCGGGAUAAGCCUGGGAAACUGGGUCUAAUACCGGAUAGGACGAUGGUUUGGAUGCCAUUGUGGAAAGUUUUUUCGGUGUGGGAUGAGCUCGCGGCCCAUCAGCUUGUUGGUGGGGUAAUGGCCUACCAAGGCGUCGACGGGUAGCCGGCCUGAGAGGGUGUACGGCCACAUUGGGACUGAGAUACGGCCCAGACUCCUACGGGAGGCAGCAGUGGGGAAUAUUGCACAAUGGGCGCAAGCCUGAUGCAGCGACGCCGCGUGGGGGAUGACGGCCUUCGGGUUGUAAACUCCUUUCGCUAGGGACGAAGCGUUAUGUGACGGUACCUGGAGAAGAAGCACCGGCUAACUACGUGCCAGCAGCCGCGGUAAU
rnacentral:rRNA from 1 species